rnacentral:lncRNA from 1 species
AAUUUGCAUAGAAUGACUGCCUAAAUAGAAAUGCACGUUCUUUUACUGCAGGUAUGUGUGGUACUGUACUAGACUCUCUGUGGUUUCUGCAUAAAUGAGGCAAGGCCAAAGAUGACUGCUCCAAGUGAGAGAAGAUACUCCAGGAAAAGUACCUCUGCUCUUCUAACCUCUGACUACACACAAGAGCAGGAACUGCAGGUGUUUCCUUCAACACAAGGAAAAGCACUGAAAAAGAGUGUAAAGGGGGAGAGGUGGUUCUUGUGAAGCUCUUUCCAGGGGCACGGGGAGAUGAAGGGUCUCCGUCAGGGUCAAGGUGUGACCCCAUGAACUCAUCCCAGGGUCAUGUCUGUCUCCUGUACACUGAGCAGGGACCGGCUCCUGCAGCACUGCAUCCCUGCCUGGCUGUGAUUCUUGGCAGCUCAUGGAUUUGCUUUUCAUCUCCUCAAAGCAGCAGGAGAACAACAGUGGGUUUAUAAGCCCAGAGGAAAUUGUCCACCAAGUUUUGAAUCCCUGGCAGAGGACUCUAGCUGUAAUCAUGGCAGGAUGAGGGGAAAUCAGAGCCUUGCUUAGGGUAUAGUAAAUAAAAUGUGGGGGGAAAAGCA